AGAGUUUGAUCCUGGCUCAGGACGAACGCUGGCGGCGUGCCUAACACAUGCAAGUCGAGCGGGGAACGGAUGGUAGCUUGCUACUGUUUGUUUCUAGCGGCGGACGGGUGAGUAACGCGUGAGCAACCUGCCUUUAUCAGGGGGAUAACGCAUCGAAAGAUGUGCUAAUACCGCGUAAGACCACAGCUUCACAUGGAGCGGGGGUCAAAGGAGCAAUCCGGAUAAAGAUGGGCUCGCGUCCGAUUAGCUAGUUGGUGAGAUAACAGCCCACCAAGGCGACGAUCGGUAGCCGACCUGAGAGGGUGAUCGGCCACAUUGGAACUGAGAGACGGUCCAGACUCCUACGGGAGGCAGCAGUGGGGAAUAUUGGGCAAUGGGCGAAAGCCUGACCCAGCAACGCCGCGUGAGGGAAGAAGGGUUUCGGCUCGUAAACCUCUGUCCUAUGGGACGAAGGAAGUGACGGUACCAUAGGAGGAAGCCCCGGCUAACUACGUGCCAGCAGCCGCGGUAAUACGUAGGGGGCGAGCGUUGUCCGGAAUGAUUGGGCGUAAAGGGCGCGUAGGCGGCCUGCUAAGUCUGGAGUGAAAGUCCUGCUUUCAAGGUGGGAAUUGCUUUGGAUACUGGUGGGCUGGAGUGCAGGAGAGGAAAGCGGAAUUACCGGUGUAGCGGUGAAAUGCGUAGAGAUCGGUAGGAACACCAGUGGCGAAGGCGGCUUUCUGGACUGAAACUGACGCUGAGGCGCGAAAGCGUGGGGAGCAAACAGGAUUAGAUACCCUGGUAGUCCACGCGGUAAACGAUGAAUGCUAGGUGUAGGAGGUAUCGACCCCUUCUGUGCCGCAGUAAACACAAUAAGC
rnacentral:rRNA from 1 species